rnacentral:rRNA from 1 species
CUACGGGGCGCUGCAGUGGGGAAUAUUGUACAAUGGGCGCAAGCCUGAUGCAGCAACGCCGCGUGAGGGAUGAAGGCCUUCGGGUUGUAAACCUCUUUUAGCAGGGAAGAAGCGAAAGUGACGGUACCUGCAGAAAAAGCACCGGCUAACUACGUGCCAGCAGCCGCGGUAAUACGUAGGGUGCAAGCGUUGUCCGGAAUUAUUGGGCGUAAAGAGCUCGUAGGCGGUUUGUCACGUCUGCUGUGAAAAUCCAAGGCUCAACCUUGGACUUGCAGUGGGUACGGGCAGGCUAGAGUGCGGUAGGGGAGAUGGGAAUUCCUGGUGUAGCGGUGGAAUGCGCAGAUAUCAGGAGGAACACCAAUGGCGAAGGCACAUCUCUGGGCCGUAACUGACGCUGAGGAGCGAAAGCGUGGGGAGCGAACAGGAUUAGAUACCCUAGUAGUC